rnacentral:lncRNA from 1 species
UUUUCAACAUGGAUUGUAGCUUUUCCAGGAGGAUUCAACAAAAACCACAUGUUCAUAGCUCCAAAGUUCAAUUUAUCAGUGACUAGAUGAAAUACAUGUUUCUCUGGUUCCUGCAAAAUAUCAAGUCAAGUCGUAUUCUUUAACAACCCACUAGAAACAUCAAACAUAGUGCUAAUUUCGUUAAUGCCAAGAUAAGAUAUCAAAUCGUAUCCCAACAACCCACUAGAAACAUCAAACAUAGUGCUAAAUUCGUUAAAGCCAAGAUAAUAGGUGAUGAACUACAGGAACAUGCAAGGCAGCGAAAGAUAUCCAAGGGUACCGCAAAUAUAAUAUGCAACUUUUUUAUGUUUGUGAUUGUUAUCAUGGAUCGGAUAGAGUGAUAGUGCACCAGCAAGUAACAAGUCAGAAAAUAGAAUAGAGUAGAAAAUAGAAUAGAGUUUCUUAAACAUCCAAAUA